GAAUAGACUCUAGAUAGCAGAUAGCUUUAAUUAUUUAAGCGGUAAACGGUAACUUUCUAGGCGAGCAAUCACCCGGGUUUAGGGUGUGGAAUUUGUAAUAUAGCGGGAGAGAAGGAGGUUCGUGCGGACAAACGAGCGGAGGUUCUCACACACAAGGACCACCGGAAGGAGGGAAAAAUCAUAUCGUAAACCUAAUAAUGAAUAUUUUACAGAAGCGAGGCAAAAUAAACGGGGAAAAAAAAUAAAUAAAUAAAUAAAGUGAAUAAUAGAGAGAGAGAGAGAGAGAGAGAGCGAGAGCGCGAGAGAGAGCGAGAGAGAGAGAGAGAGAGAGAGAAAUAAAGAAAGAAAUUCGUUCUGUUUUUUCACGCGAGCCAUCAAACACUGUGUACACGUGCGAUCCUGUCACGCUCCGAUUCCGAAAGAAUCGUUUUGUACAAGAGUGCUACAUUAAAAAAUUCUGUCGGGAGAAAAAGAAAAAGUAGACAAAAGUUAGAUCGACAGACGAACGAAGCCUGUUUGUUCGAAUAAAACAUUACAAUUGGUCUUGUCUUCUGGAAGAAUUUCUAUAAUUUCACCGGGUCGUUAGACGAAUAGGGAGAGUUGUUCCUCCAAAAGAACAGAACUUCCAGUAUCGUGAUUAACUACGGUUUUAUUACCAAUGAAUCGAAAAAUUAUCGAUGGCAAACAACGAUGCACGAACGACGACGAAACACACAGAUAGUACAGCAGAACUAAGUUAAAUCGAUUUAAUGAGAAUUUCAUUUUUAUUUUUUCAACAAAAUAAUUUAGUUACGACAUCGAGUCAAAUGGUCUGGAGCUUUCUUCGGAGUUUAAGGGGGAAUGAAUGGACACGAGCAAGAGGAUGGCGCUUAUUUUAGAUUUGGGAAGGAAAAAUGUUAGGAAAAAUGUAAUAGUGGAUAAUAGAGAUAUGAUUUGAAAAAUCGGCCUUAAUUAAUUAAGCAUUGUUUACACGAAGUCUCGACGAAUGGCUGCGUAAGUAUAUGUGUGUGUUGUGUGUACCGAUCGAUCGUACACUCGUGGCCUGAUUCUAUUUUUCCCUUUCCUUUUUUUUUUUUUUUUCUCUUGUUUCUUGUCUACGUUACGUCUGCGCUACCGCUAAUAGUAGUUUAGAGCUAAA